GACACCCUGCCGUGUUCGAGGUGCCUUUAUACUGCUCUUUGCCUUUGAGAUACUUCGGGAACCGUAACGUGGUGGUCGAUGCCGGGCCGUAAAUCGGAAGGCUGAAACUGCUGCGGAAGGUGCCCACCUUAACCUAAAAAGGUCCUGAGCCUUUUGGCAUACGGCACAGUGCGGGGUGUAA
rnacentral:other from 1 species